UAGUGAUAGCUGGUUACUUAAGAAACGGAUGUAAGUCCAACCUAAAAUUUUUAUAAUAACUUUAAAUAAGCACUAAAUUUUAGAUUUAUUCAAAUAAGGUACAGCCUAUUUGAAACAGGAUACAACCUACAUAAACGGGUAAUUAAAUUAUUCUAUUAUUAAGUGGGCCUAAAAGCAGCCAUCUUUCAAAAAGCGUCAAAGCUUAAUUAUUGUUAAACUAAAUUCUACUAAUUUUUUAAAACCCUUAAUUUUUAUUAAGUAAUUCUAUAAAACUAUAGAAGAUAUUAUGUUAAAACUAGUAACAAGAAUUAAUUAUUCUCUUAAAUAUAAGUGUAAAUCAGAACGGAUCUCCCACUGACUACUAACAUCUUUGACCAUAAAGUAAUAACUAAUCAAGAAAAAUUUACUUUAUAAUAUGUUAACCUAACACAAGAGUAUUACAAGACGAUUAAAAGAAAAAGAAGGAACUCGGCAAACAAUAACCUCGCCUGUUUACCAAAAACAUCGCCUCCUGGCCAAUCUAUAGGAGGUCCAGCCUGCCCAGUGACCAUGUUCAACGGCCGCGGUAUCCUAACCGUGCGAAGGUAGCGUAAUCACUUGUUCUUUAAAUGAGGACUAGUAUGAAUGGCAUCACGAAGGUUAUACUGUCUCCUUUUUCCAAUCAGUGAAACUAAUCUUCCCGUGAAGAAGCGGGAAUAAAACUAUAAGACGAGAAGACCCUAUGGAGCUUCAAACUCUCAACAACUAUCUUUUUUUAUAUAACUCUAAAGAAAAUAAUGAUUAUCUAGAUAGUAUGAUUGCCAGUUUUUGGUUGGGGUGACCACGGAGUAAAACACAACCUCCAAGAUGUAUAGGAUUCAUUCCUAAACAAAGAAUUACUAUUCAAAGUAUCAAAAAAUUGACAACAUUGACCCAAUAUUUUGAUCAACGAACCAAGUUACCCUAGGGAUAACAGCGCAAUCCAUCUAAAGAGUUCAUAUCGACAGAUGGGUUUACGACCUCGAUGUUGGAUCAGGGUAUCCCAGUGGUGCAGCCGCUACUAAAGGUUCGUUUGUUCAACGAUUCAAACCCU
rnacentral:rRNA from 1 species